rnacentral:lncRNA from 1 species
UUCCAUGUAAAAAGAGUCCCUGAGAGAGAGCGUGGGAGCUCUGAGGCUGUUACUGAUGUGCCGCUGACAAUGCAGAGAACAAGAUGAUGACAUCAUAAAACAGAAAACUGAAGUGACUAAAAUUCCUCACUUUCUGGAUGAAAGUACUUUGUUCCGGUGUAGUAGACCUUGCUGGGAAGUACAGGAAUUGGAACCUAGCUCCAUACUAACCGCACCGAUUCUGCAGUGGACUAAGAAAUAG